GCGGAGGGAUCAUUACCGAGUUUACAACUCCCAAACCCAAUGUGAACCAUACCAAACUGUUGCCUCGGCGGGGUCACGCCCCGGGUGCGUCGCAGCCCCGGAACCAGGCGCCCGCCGGAGGGACCAACCAAACUCUUUACUGUAGUCCCCUCGCGGACGUUAUUUCUUACAGCUCUGAGCAAAAAUUCAAAAUGAAUCAAAACUUUCAACAACGGAUCUCUUGGUUCUGGCAUCGAUGAAGAACGCAGCGAAAUGCGAUAAGUAAUGUGAAUUGCAGAAUUCAGUGAAUCAUCGAAUCUUUGAACGCACAUUGCGCCCGCCAGUAUUCUGGCGGGCAUGCCUGUCCGAGCGUCAUUUCAACCCUCGAACCCCUCCGGGGGGUCGGCGUUGGGGAUCGGGAACCCCUCAGACGGGAUCCCGGCCCCGAAAUACAGUGGCGGUCUCGCCGCAGCCUCUCCUGCGCAGUAGUUUGCACAACUCGCACCGGGAGCGCGGCGCGUCCACGUCCGUAAAACACCCAACUUCUGAAAUGUUGACCUCGGAUCAGGUAGGAAUACCCGCUGAACUUAAGCAUAU
rnacentral:rRNA from 1 species